CAGUAGCCGCGGUAAUACGUAGGGGGCAAGCGUUAUCCGGAUUUACUGGGUGUAAAGGGAGCGUAGACGGAAUGGCAAGUCUGAAGUGAAAUGCCCGGGCUCAACCCGGGAACUGCUUUGGAAACUGUCGAUCUGGAGUGUUGGAGAGGUAAGUGGAAUUCCUGGUGUAGCGGUGAAAUGCGUAGAGAUCAGGAAGAACACCGGAGGCGAAGGCGGCUUACUGGACAAAGACUGACGUUGAGGCUCGAAAGCGUGGGAAGCAAACAGGAUUAGAUACCCCUGUAGUCCCUGUCUCUUAUAC
rnacentral:rRNA from 1 species